CCUACGGGUGACAGCAGUGAGGAAUAUUGGUCAAUGGGCGGGAGCCUGAACCAGCCAAGUCGCGUGAGGGAAGACGGCCCUAUGGAUUGUAAACCUCUUUAGGCGGGGAGCAAUGCCGGGCACGCGUGCCCGGUGGGAGAGUACCCGCAGAAUAAGCAUCGGCUAACUCCGUGCCAGCAGCCGCGGUAAUACGGAGGAUGCGAGCGUUAUCCGGUUUUAUGGGGUUUAAGGGGGGCGUAGGCGGAUUUUUAAGUCAGCGGUAAAAUGUCCGGGCUCAACCCGGGCCGGCCGUUGAAACUGGGGAUCUUGAGUGGGCGAGAGGUAUGCGGAAGGCGUGGUGUGGCGGUGAAAUGCAUAGAUAUCACGCAGAACUCGGUUUGCGAGGGAAGCAUACCGGCGCCCGACUGACGCUGAGGCACGAAAGCGUGGGGAUCGAACAGGAUUAGAAACCCGAGUAGUC
rnacentral:rRNA from 1 species